GGAGAUGCAGACUUUAGAGAGAGAAAGUAAGAGUCUGAGAAAGUAGAGAGAGAGAGAGAGCAGCAAAGAAAAAGGAUCCGAUGGGUUCCGGUCGCCGGUGAUGGCGGAGCCAUGGUGCCUUUAGAUGGAGCUACAACAGUGGUGGUCUAGGUGGUGUCGGGUUGGAGAAACAAACAACAGUGGUGGUGCUAGGGUUUGAUAGAGGAUGAUGGUGGUAAGAGGCGGUGGUUCAGUUGACAACUGUGACGACCUCUUCCUUUUCUUAAAACCCCCUUCUAUAUUGUCUCUCAUGUUCUUAUCCAUUCCUCCACCAAUUCCAGGGAAAGGCCCUCAUGUUGGCUGAAAUAUUUGAUUAUGUCCACUUUUCAAGUCGAGGCGUGUCUUGCUCCCGUUAUUCCUAUGCCAUAUGAUUUUGUAGUGGAUUUGAUAUUUGAAUGCAUUCAUGCUUAAACCUGAUAAGUACAACAAAGCUAUUGUAGGCGUUCUAACAAGUAUUGAUACAUAGCUUGGAGGUUGUUAGUAUGGU
rnacentral:lncRNA from 1 species